rnacentral:rRNA from 1 species
UACAUGGGGUGCAAACGUUGCUCGGAAUCAUUGGGCGUAAAGCGCGCGUAGGCGGUUACUUAAGUUGGAUGUGAAAGCCCUCGGCUUAACUGAGGAAGUGCAUCCAAAACUGAGUAGCUAGAGUACGAAAGAGGGUCGCGGAAUUCCCGGUGUAGAGGUGAAAUUCGUAGAUAUCGGGAGGAACACCGGUGGCGAAGGCGGCGACCUGGGUCGAGACUGACGCUGAGGCGCGAAAAGCGUGGGGAGCAAACAGG